UGGAUGAGAAUGGAUUGAAUGAAAACAACAACAUAUUAAUUAAUAAUAAAAUAUGUUAAUUAUCAUUAAUAUAGCCAUAAUUUAUACUAAUUAAUAAUAAAAUAGAGUAACUAUAUCUAAUCAACACUAAUUUUGACAAGUUAAUUACUAAUUAACAAUAAUAUACUUUAAUUAUUGCUAAUCAAGAACUAAUGAUCAAGAUUAGCAAAGGUGGAUAUCCUCAUCCGGCCAAUUUGGCCGGAUACACUCAUCCAGCAUCUUCGUGGAAUAUUCCCUCUCCGGACCGCCCUAUCCACCCUUGCCCACCAACCAAAUACACUCAAAAACUGAAUCGCCAUCUCCCAUCCAGGGAUAUCCCUCCAACCAAACACAUCCUUAGAGUGCCACUUCACCACAGUGAUUUUUAUCUAUCCCUCAUCGUGUUCCACUAGGCAAAACACCAAGAACUUCCUCGGAGAAACCCAGAACACCCUUCUCAACAGGGGCGGAUCCAACGUGGGUGUAGGGGGACUCGAAUCCCCCUACACCCACAAGACCCAUGGAUACCCCCGAAGCACCCCCUUUAUUUUUUUUCACUAUAAAUGAUAAACUAAAAGUCUCUAGAUGGCUGGAGGUUAAAGAAACUGUGUAAUUGAGCCCCCAAAUUUUUUGUUGCUUGAUCCGCCCCUGCUUCUCAAUUUUUAACCCGGACAUGUUUGAUCCAUUCCUUGAUUUCUCUAGUGAGCUUCGCCGCAUUUCAUCCAUGAGAACGUGAUCUACUACCUCUGCCUGAUACAUCCGUGUCUUUGAAAUCUCAUUUCGCACAGGUCGAACACCCUGCGUCGAGCUCGUCGUCGCUCCCGACGUCCAGAGCGCCGCCUUGCGUCGCAUCGCCGUUCCCGUCCAUCCGGUGGAUCUCUGGCCGAGCCACUGCGCCAACGACGUCGCCUAGGUCCAGGGAGAAAGACGCCCAGGAAGAUCGAAGCCAAUACACCGCCGUUGAGGAGAUCGAACUCUUCUUCCACAAGUCCGGCCGCCGGAUAUCGUCGUCGAAUCCUUGCAUCCGAGCCGAAGCAUGGGGAGUGGUCGUCGCCGUCGCUCUGCCAUUCUUUGCCGCCACCGGAGUACUUCUAAGGUCGCCAUCACCGUCCAUCCAUCACCGACCCACAGGCGAUAUUCCACUAGUGGUCACCGCCGCUCGCGCUGCCUCCGGCCAUCUCCGGCGACAAGACGAACAUCGUCGGGUGCGCAAGAGCCUGGCGCACUUUUCUCCUUUUGGGUGCGACGUCGGACUCGCCGCCGUUCGCCGCCGAUGUCGACGUCAAGCCCGCCGGCCGGUGAAGCUUGUUAGAGUAUAUGGUAGUCAGGGAUAUAUUAGGAUAGGAUUGAUUUGUGUGAACUCCUUCCAUAUAUGUAAUCCUUUCUUAUCUCAUUCCCAUGUACUCCUAUAUAUACCGGUCCCCUAAAGCUCAAUAUAAGUGUGUUAAUAUUCACAGUAUUCCUCUUCCUAUACUAUCCAACAUGGUAUCAGAGAUCAGAGCGGGCGACCUAGAGCCGCCCCUCUCACGCUUCCGCCGCCGCUGCCCCCGGAAGUAACGAUCUCCCGGGGGCGGCCACCCGUUUUUUUUUCGUCUUCGCGUCAGAUCGAUCUGGUUCAGUUCCCAGAUUGGUCGCUGUUGUGUCGUCCUGGAGAGAUCAAUCUCCGGGCGUUCAUCGUCGUUGUCAUGAGAGGAUCGAUCUCGAUCUUCUUGGACGACAUGUCGUUCGUCUGCAUCGUCGUUUGUCGCCGAGACGGAUCGAUCUCGAUCUCCUCGGCGGCCGCGUUCUUUGUCGUGUCGUUGUUAUCGACACGAGUCAAGCAGCAGCAGUUAGCACUCGCCGCUGAUCUGGUCGCGCCGUUCCUCGUCGUCCUCUACCCCCGUCUCCUGCCGCCCGGACUGGUUCCGUCCUCGUCGCCACUCGUCUUCCCCGUCGCCGCUCGUCUUCCUCGUCGCCGGCCGACCACCGCGCCUCCGCCUGGAUCCCUCCGCCGCACCGUCUUCACCGACCGCCUCUCCACCGCCGCCACCCCUGCCCGGUUUUGGAGACCGGCUCCACGAUGAUGGGCGCCCACUGAUCUGGCCGACGGGGCCCUGCCUCCUGCCGGCCUCGGCGCCCCGCACCCUCCACUGGCCGGUCGCCGCAUGUUGACCUACGCUGGUCGCCGCCCGUUAACCUACGCCGGUCGUCGGCACCAGCUCGCCACCUGCUGCGCCAAGCCAUCGGCCGGGCUCCCUCGCCGUCGCCAGCCUCCAACUCCCGUCUCUCUCUCUGUGGACUGUGCUGCUUCUUUCUGUCAGGGAAGGAAAAAGGGGUGCGAGGUGGAGUUGGUCUGUGGACUUGGUCCAUGGACCAUGAGGUGACACGUUUUGGACUGCCAAUGUGUUACUGUUGCUGUUGUCCAUCGGCGUCUGCUUGUAUUUUUUUCCCGUUGAACGGGUUUGCAUCGCCCACUGCCUCGUCGACAUAUGCGCGUCUCCAACAUCGGUAUCGACUCUGCUUCGACUUCAUCGUUCCGCCUCGCGCAUCUUCGGCUUGAUCACCCGUUCAAGCGCCCGGCUACAACGACUUCUGCAACCAAUCUUCAUCGAGCACGCGUCUACGCCAUCAAGCUCUGGGUCGCCGUUGCGUCGCCCCCUUGGGCCGCAGUGCCGUUGCCCAUGGUCCCUAUCCACUGGCUGUUGCAAUGCUGAGAGGCGCCCUUCUCAGCGUGGCCUUACAUCGGUGGAGUUCCCGCCGCUGCAUCGACAUGGAGUUGCACCUGUGUUGUCCUCUCGGACCACAGCCUCGCCGCUUUCGUCGUCUUCAUCGCCGUUCGCGUAUUGACAACCUCGUCGUCCGCACUGGUCAUCGUCAGCCGCUGAGGGUCUUCUUCGUCUACUUCGAGCAUCGCCGCCGCAUCUCCAAGUUGCCACUGUCGCUGCUCUAGGCCAGUGGUCCAGCUACAUAUACAUGGCUACUGACGUCGCCGUCCAGGCCGUUGGUCCCGCUACUUCUACUUCGUCUAACAUGAUUCAUCGCCAGCGUCGCCGUAUCUUCCUCGACUACGCUUCGCUCUUCUCCGACAACUACGUGCUGCUCCGGCAAUUCUUCCUCUACGCCGUUCUCGCGCCGUGACCGUCCCGGAGGCCUUCUCUGCUAGUCUUCUCCGACAUUGGUGUAUGAUUAAUGGUGGUCCCCUACCUCGCCCGCGCGGUAUUGGCAACACCGUUGCGCGCGUUCGUCCCGAGUUGUCCCCGAGUCUGGCAAACCCGGCGAGACGUCUCGUCCUUCAUGGUUCGACUACAUCAGCUCUUCGGCGUCAUCUUCCUCCACGAUCGCCGCGAUUGUGUCACCGUCUUCGUCUCUAGCGCGUCUUCACGCACCAUUGGUUCACGACGCCCUCCUGUGCGUCCACGACCACUCUACGGCACCUCAUGCGCUCCCUGCGGCUCAACUAUCUCGACAUCAGCUUCUUGACUUCGGCUACAUCGACCACGGCUACUCUACGCACGGCUUCAUCAACCACGGCUACUCUACGCACGGCUUCAUCGACCACGGCUCUCUUGGCUCCUUCGCUUUGGCUACGUCGACUACGGCACAAAGGGCUAUCAUUCGUAUUGAGCACUCUUGUCGGUUUUUUUCUCCCGUCCAAGUGUCCACGCUGCUCACGCUUGGACUGCAGGAGGAUAAUAGAAUAUAUGGUAGUUAGAGUUAUAUUGGGAUAGGAUUGAUUUGUGUGGACUCCUUCCAUAUCUGUAAUUCUUCCUUAUCUCCUCCCCAUGUACUCAUAUAUAUACCGGCCCCCUGAGGCUCAAUACAAGUGUGUCUAAU